AUUGAACGCUGGCGGCAGGCCUAACACAUGCAAGUCGAACGGUAACAGGAAGCAGCUUGCUGCUUUGCUGACGAGUGGCGGACGGGUGAGUAAUGUCUGGGAAACUGCCUGAUGGAGGGGGAUAACUACUGGAAACGGUAGCUAAUACCGCAUAACGUCGCAAGACCAAAGAGGGGGACCUUCGGGCCUCUUGCCAUCGGAUGUGCCCAGAUGGGAUUAGCUAGUAGGUGGGGUAACGGCUCACCUAGGCGACGAUCCCUAGCUGGUCUGAGAGGAUGACCAGCCACACUGGAACUGAGACACGGUCCAGACUCCUACGGGAGGCAGCAGUGGGGAAUAUUGCACAAUGGGCGCAAGCCUGAUGCAGCCAUGCCGCGUGUAUGAAGAAGGCCUUCGGGUUGUAAAGUACUUUCAGCGGGGAGGAAGAGAGUAAAGUUAAUACCUUUGCUCAUUGACGUUACCCGCAGAAGAAGCACCGGCUAACUCCGUG
rnacentral:rRNA from 1 species